rnacentral:antisense_RNA from 1 species
GACGACAACGUUCUGCCGUCAUUGGCAAACACACUAGACCACGGGCAUGGGUGACCAUAAAAUUGAUCGCCUCAGGCGUCACGUGCUCAGCAGCCAUAAUCA